CACGGGGGGAGCAAGCGUUGUUCGGAAUCACUGGGCGUAAAGGGCGUGUAGGCGGUCAAGUAAGUGGAAUGUGAAAGCCCCCGGCUUACCCGGGGAUCUGCAUCCCAAACUGCUUGGCUUGAGUACGGGAGAGGAUGGAGGAAUUCCUGGUGUAGCGGUGAAAUGCGUAGAUAUCAGGAGGAACACCGGUGGUGUAGACGGCUUUCUGGACCGUAACUGACGCUGAGACACGAAAGCGUGGGUAGCAAACAGG
rnacentral:rRNA from 1 species